GUGCCCACUUUGGCAACACAUUUACCUAAUGGAACGAUACAGAAAAGAUUAGCAUGGUACCUUUGCAAAGAAGACACAUAAACUCAUGAAGUGUUCUGUAUUGUU